UACGUAGGGUGCAAGCGUUAAUCGGAAUUACUGGGCGUAAAGCGUGCGCAGGCGGUUCGGAAAGAGAGGUGUGAAGUCCCAGGGCUUAACCUUGGAACUGCACUUCUAACUACCGGGCUAGAGUACGUCAGAGGGGGGUAGAAUUCCACGUGUAGCAGUGAAAUGCGUAGAGAUGUGGAGGAAUACCGAUGGCGAAGGCAGCCCCCUGGGAUGAUACUGACGCUCAUGCACGAAAGCGUGGGGAGCAAACAGG
rnacentral:rRNA from 1 species